rnacentral:rRNA from 1 species
GACGGGGGGGGCAAGUGUUCUUCGGAAUGACUGGGCGUAAAGCGUCCGUAGGCGGCUGAUUGCGUCGGGUGUGAAAGCUCCCUGCUCAACGGGGAGAGGUCAUCCGAUACGGGUCGGCUGGAGGGCAGUAGAGGGGGACGGAAGUUCCCGGAGUAGUGGUGGAUAUGCGUAGAGACCGGGAGGAACACCGGUGGCGAAGGGCGGUCCCCUGG